rnacentral:misc_RNA from 1 species
GAUGAAGAACGUAGCGAAAUGCGAUAAGUAGUGUGAAUUGCAGAAUUCAGUGAAUCAUCGAAUCUUUGAACGCACAUUGCGCCCCUUGGUAUUCCAUGGGGCAUGCCUGUUCGAGCGUCAUUUGUACCUUCAAGCUUCGCUUGGUGUUGGGUGUUUGUCUCGCCUUUGCGUGUAGACUCGCCUUAAAAUAAUUGGCAGCCGGCGUAUUGAUUUCGGAGCGCAGUACAUCUCGCGCUUUGCACUCAUAACGACAGCGUCCAAAAGUACAUUUUACACUCUUGACCUCGGAUCAGGUAGGGAUACCCGCUGAACUUAAGCAUAUCAAUAAGCGGAGGA